rnacentral:lncRNA from 1 species
UUUAUGAUAUUAAUAUAUAUAUUAUAUAGUAAAAAAAAUUUCAGAGGCCCUCAAAAAUUAGGAGCCUUAUGCGGUGUCACCACUUGCACUAUGCAAGGGCCGCUCCUGUUAGAAACCACCUCUCAUAUUGUUCUGAUGAAAAAGAAAUCUGAUAUUUUUCAUUCAACCACAAAAAUAAAAGAAACCUAUGAAUUUUGAUAUCACUG